rnacentral:rRNA from 1 species
UACGGGAGGCAGCAGUAGGGAAUCUUGCACAAUGGAGGAAACUCUGAUGCAGCGAUGCUGCGUGAGUGAAGAAGGCCUUUGGGUUAUAAAGCUCUUUCGUCGGGGAAGAAAAUGACUGUACCCGAAUAAGAAGGUCCGGCUAACUUCGUGCCAGCAGCCGCGGUAAUACCCAGCAGCCGCGGUAAUAC